CUCUUACUGACAGUUCAUCGUUAUAAACAACGUGCACAUUUUCAUUGUUACGCAGCAAUUUCUUGAAUUACUUGACAUAUGUAGACAUGUAAAGGUUAUCGAAAGUCUUCAUGGCGCAGUGUUUGUAACGAUGGCGUAGCAUGUGAAAGGGUCAGAGUUCGAAACCUAGAUGGAGGAUGGCUCCAACUCCAUGCGUUUUGUGUGGGAAAAGACUAAAGAUACAUCAAAGGAGGCCUGUGAAUCCAUAUCUUAUCCGGUAUCUCAGAAAAACGUUCAUGCUUGAAACUUCAAAAUCUGACUACAUAUGUGGAAAAUGUAGCCGACCGGCAUAUCCUUCUCAACAUAACCAAAGACCCAUAAUAUCUGCAUGUCCUGUUCCUGUCACAGCAGAAAAGAAUGAUAUUCAACAAUUGCCAAGUCCACCAUCGGUUUCUUUGAGCUUAAAAACAAUUUCAAUAAGUCAUUCAUACUGUUUUAUUUGUAAGAAAGUAGGAUCUAAAUUAAUUGUGGUUCCAUCAAAACUUAGAACAGAAACACUUGUGAAGCAUAAUAUCCUUAUAACAGCUGACAGUAGGUGUUGCCCUGCUCACCUGAAUAAUAAUCGUAAUGGUUUCCAAGCAAAUGUUUUAGAUAACGUAAAAACAUUAGAGUCUGUUUUAUUAAACCGGACUACAAUUGUGAAUGUUAUAAAUAAUGUCAGACAGUGUAUACUUAAUUCAUCGUCUAAUAGAAUGUCAUUUGACAAUAUUGAUACAUUUUCAAAUGAAGAUUUGUGCAA